GACGAACGCUGGCGGCGUGCUUAACACAUGCAAGUCGAACGGAAAGGCCCUGCUUUUGUUGGGUGCUCGAGUGGCGAACGGGUGAGUAACACGUGAGUAACCUGCCCUUGACUUUGGGAUAACUUCAGGAAACUGGGGCUAAUACCGGAUAGGAUCUCCUGCUGCAUGUUGGGGGUUGGAAAGUUUCGGCGGUUGGGGAUGGACUCGCGGCUUAUCAGCUAGUUGGUGGGGUAGUGGCUUACCAAGGCUUUGACGGGUAGCCGGCCUGGGAGGGUGACCGGCGACCUUGGGCCUGCGAUACGGAGCAGACGCCAACGGGAGGCAGCGGUGGGGAAUAUUGCGCAACGGGGGGAAGCCAGAUACGGCAACGCCGCGUGCGGGAUGCCGGGCUUCGGGUUGUAAACCGAUUUCGCCUGAGACGAAGAGUGAGUGACGGUAAUGGGUAAAGAAGCACCGGCUAACUACGUG
rnacentral:rRNA from 1 species